rnacentral:rRNA from 1 species
AUUGAACGCUGGCGGCAGGCUUAACACAUGCAAGUCGAGCGGAGAUGAGGUGCUUGCACCUUAUCUUAGCGGCGGACGGGUGAGUAAUGCUUAGGAAUCUGCCUAUUAGUGGGGGACAACAUUCCGAAAGGAAUGCUAAUACCGCAUACGUCCUACGGGAGAAAGCAGGGGAUCUUCGGACCUUGCGCUAAUAGAUGAGCCUAAGUCGGAUGAGCUAGUUGGUGGGGUAAAGGCCUACCAAGGCGACGAUCUGUAGCGGGUCUGAGAGGAUGAUCCGCCACACUGGGACUGAGACACGGCCCAGACUCCUACGGGAGGCAGCAGUGGGGAAUAUUGGACAAUGGGCGGAAGCCUGAUCCAGCCAUGCCGCGUGUGUGAAGAAGGCCUUUUGGUUGUAAAGCACUUUAAGCGGGGAGGAGGCUACCUAGAUUAAUACUCUGGGAUAGUGGACGUUACUCGCGGAAUAAGCACCGGCCAACUCUGUGCCAGCCGCCGCAGUAACAC